AUUGAACGCUGGCGGCAGGCCUAACACAUGCAAGUCGAACGAGUGGCGGACGGGUGAGUAAUUGCUGGGAAACUGCCUGGUGGAGGGGGAUAACUACUGGAAACGGUAGCUAAUACCGCAUACCAUCGGAUGUGCCCAGAUGGGAUUAGCUAGUAAGUGGGGUAACGGCUCACCUAGGCGACGAUCCCUGCCUGGUCUGAGAGGAUGACCAGCCAUAAUGCAAGUGAUAAACGGGCAAGACUCCUACGUGACGCAGCUGUGGUGGAGAGUGCACAAUGGGCGCAGGCAUGACGCCGCCACCCCGCGGGCAUGAAGAAGGCCUUCGGGUUGUAAAGUACUUUCACCGGGGAGGCGCUAGCCGCAGAAGAAGCGCCAGCGAACUCCUUGCCAGCAGCCGCGGUAAUAC
rnacentral:rRNA from 1 species